UUUAAUGUCUGUAUGUUGAAAAGCAUAGCUUGAAAUAAUCGGACACCAAUUCUGAAAUAAACAUCUGCUGCUUAACUUUUGUAGCGAUGUCUUCCUUUCUUCAAUACACUAACCAUGACUAAAAUAACAAAUUCAAACAAUAAUGUUAGUUUAUGUAGUGUUAUUGAAGUGCUCUGUAAAGAUACAAGAUGUUUAAAAAUAGAGUUCUUUUUAAUGGGUAAAGAAAGUUUUAAGUACUGAAUGUUUUCAAGCAAAAAACUGUAUUUUCAGUAAAUGUACUUGUUAUGUGAGUGACUACAAGAUAUAAUAAGUUUUCUGGGACCCAUCUGCUAUUUAUAUGCUGCUAAAGCAUGGAUGGUACUCUUCUUAAAUGAAUUUACCAAUAUGCAAUGUUCACUGUGGGAUCAUAUACUGUAUUUAUGGCACAAUUAUCUAUCAAGAAGAGUGAAGAACGUCAGUGAGCUAUUUUCUGCUUAAUUGAAUACUUAAGACUCAACUUAAUGGGCCUACAUCAUGUAAACAUAGCAUUUAAUUAGAUAUAAGUACAGAAUGCUGUUUGCAUUGCAGCUAUAUUUGUGUUUGUCAGCAUCUCCUUGAUAAGCCCGUGAAAAUUUUGAACUUAUUUGUAUGUGAAAGGUAGUUGUAGGAAGCUACAAUGCAGUAUUUUUAUGUAUCAGCCCUGCUUUUAUCUAGAGAGGACAAAGGUAUACAAAAAUGAUCUUUCUUGAUGACCUUCUGAUGAGGCAGAUGGAAUUUUCAAACUGGUAGAUUCUGUCUGUUACUUCAAAAAUUAAAGAUUAUGUUUCAGGAAAUGGACGAAAUAAAAUGAGUUUCCUAGAGACAAAUACAGGAAGGCUGAAGAAUUUUCAGGACACCAUUGGACAUCUGUGCAUGUCCAACAAUAGAGAACUAUUAUUACAGAGAUAACUAUUAACAAAUAAAACAAUAGAGAACUAUUAAAAAAUUAUUUGUGAAAUAAUCUUAGUUUUACUUUUUAAACUUCAAAGAAGAAAACUCCUUUCCAUUGUAUGGAUAUAUAUCUUAUGACUUAAUGAAAUGUGAACAUUAUGUGAGUUAAUGUACUUGCUAUGUGUACAGUUAAAUUUUCUCUUCUCUGUGUGAAGCCAAUUUAUUGUUAGGUUCAAGUUGGGCAGGUUUGGAGAAUUGGGUGGAGAGAAACCUAUUGAGGUUUAACAAGGGCAAGUGUAGGGUGCUGCACCUGGGGAGGAAGAAUGCCAAAUACCAGUACAGGUUGGGGGCUGUAAAAUAAAUUGUGUUCAGACACACGUCAGUCCUUUUAAACAACUUCUGCUUUCUUACAUUGUUUGGCUAAAUUAUUGCAUCAAAAUUUAUUAACAUGUCAGUUAUGGUGUGUGUUUGAGUUUGUGUUUUGUGGUUGGUUUUGUUUUGUUUUGUUUUUUGGUUUUGGGUUGUUUUUUUUUGUCCCCAAAUAAGUUCCAGUAUUAUUUCAGCUUUUUUUGUUAGUGCUAUUUUUCACGGAUGAAAUAAAACUAUUGUGGUGUUGAAAAAAGAACUUUUACCAGCUUUCACUACAUCAUGUUGGAGUGAAUUGCAAAUUCAGAUGGGAUCUAAGCUUUGAGAAGAGUCCAGCCUGGAUAAAUUAAUGGUAGUGACCGAACAUCCUAGAAACAUGAUGUUAGAAUCAACUCUUAAGUUGCUGUAUUUUAUUGUGCUUUUGUUCUUCCUGUACAAGCUGGAAGAAUCUGAGUAAAGUUCACUUUGUGUUCUUUAGUACAUGAGACACACUGUAGAAGAUACAUUGCUCCUUGCCAGUUUCAGAAUCUGUGUUUGUUGAUUUACCUUCUCUUUCUGCUGUCUCAGUCUGUUUUCUGUCUGUAAUACAAGUGUAAUGCUUCAAGUAAUGUACUGCUUGACAUAAGCUAAUACACAAUAACAAUUUGAUUAUCAUAAAGAUGCAUCAAUUUUCAUAGAAAAGUUAGACAACUCUCAAAAAUUGAAAUGGUAAAAUGUUGUAUGUUGUGACUGAUGUCAUAACCUGUGAAUGUAUUUUUAUCUGGCAUUUGUUGCAGAGAACAGUAACAGUAACCAUUUAAUUUAUGAUGGCUUGCUAAAGGAAGUGUACCUCUAUUUUCUGGAGGUCAGUUUCUACUUUUGCAUCUUGUAUAGUAAACUCACUAAACCAGAAAACAGUAAAAGCCAUCUGAGUGCUUUUUAAACUGUGUGAUUUAUCUGCAUGCAGCAACAUAAUGCAAAGGAAAGAACAUGUGUUUAAAAGAAAAAAAUUGUCAUUUAAGUGCAAUUAGUUUCAGUAUCUAGAGUCCAUAGGAAGCUCUUUUAGCAGACAGACCAAAAUUGUUGCCAAGGAUUAAUAUGCCCUCUAUUAGCUUACUGUUUUAUCCCACCCGUCCUUGUUGCCCCUGUGAGCCAUCAUAUUGUCAUUGCUGCUGUGCACUGUAUGUGCACAGAGAACACAGGGACCAGAUGGAUCAGCCACCCCCAGUGAUUUGCCUAAAGCAGGGUGGAGCUGGAGGUCACCUCCCACUACAGAGCUGGGGGCACCAUUUUGCUUUGGCUGUCGUCUCAUGGUGGGAAGACAUCAUGUUUGGCCACUGUGUAACCCACAUGCUUACAUACUGCCCUGCACCUGGCCACCAGCGCUGACAGCAUCAAAGGCAUGUGACCUGAACAUACUUUCCAGCUGGCUGCUUACUUCCUUUGGACCAGAAAAUUCCUAGAUACAAAUAUAUAUGCAUUUAUAUGUAUGUGUAUGCAUAGUAAAUCUAGAUAUAAAAUCCUUUAUGAAGAAGUAAAACUAUGUAUUUUACUUAUACUUUGAUCAACCUUAUAUGUAGCUUUACAGAAGUAUUAUAUACAAUAUAGAUCUAUAUACUUUAUAUAGUGUAAAGGUACAUAAAUUAAAUAUGUAUCUCUCUACCUAAAAGUGUAUGUGUGAAAUGUAUAAAAAGUAUUUUUUAGAGCUAAUGAAAUUAAAGUUUAAAUGUGAAUAUAAAGUAAUUAAAUAACAACAUACCUGAACUAGUGGAAGGUGUCCCUGCCUAUGAAGGGGGUUUGGAGCUAGAUGAUUUUUAAGGUCCUUUCCAACUCUAACCAUUCUAUGAUUCUCUGGUGAAGUCGGUUGGUGCCCUCUACUUCACAAGUCUAAUGAACAAAUCCUGACAUGUUUGGGUGGAGGGAGGUAUAAGAGGACAAGGAGGGGGUAUGAGGAGGGCAGGGUGAGGAGAGGGGUACAGUCAAGUGGGACUACUUGCCUGUCUUCAGAGAUUGCCCACCAAGGGGCUCCUGUGUGUCCCCUGCAAAGUACAAAGAGGAGCCCAGUCCUGGAGCUCCACAGUUGGCACCAGACAAUCUGUUUAUUGCCGGUGCAGCUUUGAGGCUUUCCACUGUGUUGCAAGACACAGGCAUUGCUCUCUGCAAAAGUGGAAAUCCAGAACAAAUUUCCAACUUGAGAAGAAAUGGGUGUGUAGACAAUGAGGACAAACCCCAGCAGGACUCCUGAAAAAAAGACCACAUGAAGCAGAACAGCCAUCUGAUAGGCCUGUGAAUCAGGAACAAUCACCAAGUAAGUUUCACAGAAAAAGGAGAAGUGCUGGUGGGAGUUGCUUUAGCCCACUGCUUUGGGGGAACAUUGCGGUACCUUUUAUAUCACUGUGAGGUACAGGCUUGAGCUAUAUCUGUUUCCUUAUCCUUAGGUUAAUGUCCUUAUAGGACAUUUAAAAAGCUCUAGCCAACUAGCUGAGGAGGUAGAAGACAGGAGUGUUCCCAUACAGGCCUGCAGCAGUUAAAGAAUGAUCAGAGAGAGGACAGUGGCUUUUGUGGAGGAGUGGGGUAAAAAAACCCAAACAACAAAAUCCUUGGAAAAGCCUCACUAAUGACUGACACCCAUCAUAACCAUUAAUAAAGUAUCUUUUUGCAUUAACUGA